UAGAGUAAUUCUGGGAUGGGUGACCUUCCGGGAAGUUUUCCCGGAAAGUGUGCGAGUAAGGACAAANCACACUGGAAAGUCUCGUGGUGAUGUGUGGGGGCAGUCAACAGUCCCUGUAAGUUGCCGGGGCAUUACAAAUGGUAUCAGAGCCUAGCCUCUCCCAGUACGGUGUGGUUCGAGGACGAACCAGACGGAAGCUGGUGGGCAUGUGACACCCGGGCACUGACGAGGGCGGGGAGUGAUCGUCGGUGCAAGAGGCAUGGUGCAGGGGGCACAGACAAGGAGCGGCUCCUGGCAGGCUUUGAGUGGAAGGGGCACAUGGACGAAUCGAUCAUACACCGGAAUGAGAGGGAUCUGGGGACUGUAUAGGUAUGGGACUAUACAAUUGAAGGAUAGCUUAAAGGAAUUGAUU
rnacentral:lncRNA from 1 species